rnacentral:lncRNA from 1 species
UUUAAUGAAUUUCAGAACUGGAGCCAAAGAGGUUUCCUCUUCGUUUCCCCCCUGUUCUUCUAUGACCUGUAUAAUUUAGGGUUGCACAUUUUCUCGAAAUUUAUUGUGUUCUAAUCUUGAAUUUGUCCAAAAGAUUGGAUCUUUCAAGUUUAUGAUGUAUGGGUUUGUAAAUUGGAGCUCGUAGCAGCUGAAGGGAUCAUUUUUCUAUUACUCCAGUUUCACUCAUGGGCUGCACACUUAUCAGAUUUUACUGCAAAGAGGGCUAUCUUUCUUUCAAUUUCUUGCUCUGAAAGCACAGGUCAAGGUAUAAAGUAGGCCAAGUAAUCCUUUUGCCUUUUUGCCUUUAUUUUUUUGGAGCCAUUGUUUGGGUUAUUCAUUUUCUUUAGAAUUGGGAUCAAUAUAACUACAUGUAGUGAUUAAUCAUCUUAGGCUCACUUUUGCUGAAAAGUCUUUUUUCUUUUGGGAUUUUUGUUUCAGUUUCCAUAAUUUGUUGUUGUUCGAGAAAUCUUUUGUAGUUCAUAUUUAUGAUCAGCUGAGAAGUGAGAACCCUCUGGAAGCUACUUUAAAGUGAUGAAUUGCACUCUCUCUGUAAGGAAAUGCUAUUUGUUUACUCAAUUAGGGUGUUUUUGUAUUCAUAUACUAUGCAUAGGUUGUAUGUGUGUGUGUGGAUUUUUGAAGAAGAUAUAAUUGGCGUAAAAACUUUGACUUGUCUGCAUUUGAGCAAAACUUCAAAAGAAAUCUAAUAUAUUUGGUUUACAUUAAGCCUUUUAUGUCCAAAUGCAAUAUUUGCUUAGUGCUGAACUAUUAUGCAAAUGCAAGUUUUUGACUUGGCAUUCUUUACGGUUUACUUUUGCGAUAACGCCUGAUGAGGCUUAUUUUUCUGUUUACUAGUAAGUCAGGAUGUUAUGCUGCCCAUUUUUUUUUUUUUUUUUGUGAGAGUGUGUGUGUGUGUGUGGUUUUUUUCUUUUUAACUUCUUUAAAGGCUUUCCCUAUAAGCAAACAUUAGGGCCAGCUAUUUUCUUUUUUUUUUCUUUUCUUUUUUCAAUUAUUUGGAUUUCAAAGUUGAGGAGCCAAAUCGAGUAGUUGAAUUUGUGCGUCAUACUUCAUAGGCUCCACUUGGCAGAUUGCACCAGGUGAGUAGUACAGAAGAUUGGGAGUGUUGCCCUGUUUUCCCUCAAAUUCCUGGUUCUAAAUAAGCUUGAGCAAUCCUUUUUAUGCAAAACCCAAAAAUUGUGCUACCUUCCUGCUUCUCUGCUUCUCCCAUUUUUGUGCCAAACAUGAAGUUUCCUGAUAUUCUCUGUUAGUGACUUCCUUUUUUUGUUUGUUUUUAAGAUACUUUGAGUCAUUGUUGAUAGCUUUUUGAGCAUUGACACAAUUAUAUCUCUUAAACUUGCUUAUAAUUUUCUUUUGGAGGUCAGGAAGGUUAGGGAACGGUUGUUUUUGGUGUUUGUGUUGGAAACAUGAAGUAUAUUUAACUUCUUGUCAUGUCAAAGGUCCAAACAAUGACAAUGGAUAUCUCUGCUAGAUGUUGGACCUAAAGAUGGUUUGUCAUUGUUGCUUUAUGUUGUUUCAAAGUAUUCUGCAAUAGAUUCUCUUAGGAAAAAUCAUGUUGGUUUUCUUCUGGUUUAAGGCAGAAAGCCAUUAGGUUCGUUAUAACUAAUGUACAUAAUUUGAUGUAGGAAUUCUUCAUCUGAUGUUGCAGACUAUCUUGAUCACAUCUAAUGGAGCUUGUAAGCUGGGUGCAUUUGGUUUCACACCUACAGGUCACUCAUCCAGUGAUUCAGCUAAUGUGCGGGCUUUCCACUAUGCUGUGAGUGUAAAUUUUCAUAUCACAGUGAAAAACAGAAUAUAAUUGCACGUUUUUUUUAGUUCAUUUUUCUACUGCAUUUCUAGUUAUUGAAUUUGUGAAUUGAUAGCAUUUCUUUUAUCUGAAUCUUAUUGCUGUUAAGCAUGCUGCUGGACCUGCAUUAGCUUUUUGAUUUAUCAUGGAAAAUCUGUUGUUUGAAUAGUAGUAUCUUAAACAGAUUUGGUUGCUAAUUGGUUCUUGGAAAGGUUUAACACAAAUUUUCUUCAUAAAUUAGUGCUUGGAGCUCUAUCAAUGCUAUAUCUGAGCUCAAGUAUGAGCUAUAUAUGAAGAGGAGCCAGGCAGAUCCAUAUGGUUUCAUGUUACAUUAGAGUUAGAUCUAUGUUGUUGAUGAGUAAAGAAUAGAAAGAAGUGUUGUGGGAGGGGUUUUGGAAGGACCGAAGUGCAUGAUAUAUGUAGAUUUGGUGAGUAUGAUCCUCUUAACGUGCUGGACUAUUAUGUUAUCACCUUAGACUCAAUCAAGACAAGUACAUCGAAGAUUAGGGAUGACAACGCGACAGGUGCCUGCCUUGCAGGGGAAGGAAUGGGACGGGAGAUUUUUCUCCUCCUACUUUAAAUGGGGUGGGGGAGGAUACCAAUAUAUAUUUUGACAAAAGCUUUGUCCUUCAUAUCAUUCGAUUCUUUUGAGUCUCUUUUGAUUAGUAGACAGACAAAAGAAUAUAUCAGUUUUUUGGUUAGAACUUACUGUUAUACUAGCACCAAAUGUUCUUGACUGUGAUUGCAACAUCUCCAAUUAUGGGAAGUAAGGGGCCGCUUGGUUUGAGGGGUUUGGCAUGUGGAAUGACAAUAAUUCCAAUAUUUAGUGCUUGGUACACUGUAAUGGCAAUUGAAAUAUUGGAAUCAUACCCAAUUCAUGAUUCCCGACUAAAUUGGGAGGAAUCACUCAAAACCCUCAGCUCAUUUCCAACAGUGAAUAAAUAAAAGACAAAAUAUUUUGUUAAAAUACUUUCUUUCUCCCUCUCCCAGACUUCCACCAUCGAACCUCCCCUUCCUCUCUGCCUUCAACACCUCUCUCUCCCCCAUGGCAUCUGGCAAUUCCUCCCCUUUUUCUUAUUUUUCCCUCUUUAUCAGCAUUUGACAACACCCAAAUGGGCUUGCCGGCAGAAAAAUAGAUUCAAAUGGAAGAAAUCGAAGAGGAAGCCGCACCAGCAAACACCGACAAGUCAUCACCGUUAUUAUCUGAAUUCUCCCCGUAAGAUCCGUUGGCCCGAGGUCGAGGUCCACCUCUACAAGCUUGGCAAAGGACCCAUCAAUGUCUUCAAGUCCAGCCUUAGUGGGUGGGACCAAGACUAGUUGGAGGUCACCGAUUUUUUUCCUUUUCCAUGGCAUCUGACAAAAUCUCUCUUCUUCUCCCACGGCCGGUCACUUCCACCUCAUCCCAGUAGACCCUUUCUUCUCCUCCCUUGCCAUCAAAUCGUCCUCCUCAUUGCAAUCGUUCUCCACAAAUCGUUCAAAUCUUUUAUUGAUUAGUCAUGAGUUUUUGUUGAUAAUCGUUGAACCAAAAACAAAAAAGAUUUGGAUUGGUAGUGAUUUGAUGAUGGGCGUGAUUAUCAAUCCAAGAACAAUAAUUAAAAAAUAAAAAAUUAAUUUUGAUACCAUUCCAACUAUAUUUAUACCAAGCACUAGUCCGUGGAAUAAUACCAGGGGUUCAAACCCAUACUAAUUUUUUGUAUAUCAUUCCAUCUCCAAUACCAAUUCCAAAACAUGAACCAAGCACCCCCUAAGAGUGUCCAUAAGAUGGAUUAGUGAUGACUAGAGAACCAAUUUCUGGAUGGCAAACACCACAAGCCCUCUAACAGAGAUCAAUGGCAUAGGAUUGAUGAUUUCUUAAUAUGUUAGGAUCCUAACAUGCCCCACUAGGAUUAUACCGCUACAGUGCAAUUGACCGCGUUCCAAACCCAAAAAUGAAGCCCUGUAGCUGAUAAUCAAGUAAAACGUGUGGCUAAAUAAAAAUCAGGCUAAAUAUAGUGGCCACCUCUGGGGCAUUCGUUUUGUUAUAUGUGUAGAAAAAAUGAGGCUAAAUAAAAAAUACGAAAUAUUGUGGCCACCUCCGGGGCACUCGUGAGGAUUGUGGGGCUAGGGUGGGGGCGGAGGAAGCCGGGGAUUGGGCGGGAGCGGGGAAACUUUUAUAACAUGGGGCGAGGGACGAGGAGAGCUCUCCCGCCACAUUGCCAUCUCUAUUGAUGAUGUCAUAUAAGUGAUCCAACCUGUAGACACCCAACUUUCAACUAGUUCUGUGACGACCCCACCUUCCUCUAGGACGUACCCCAGGGUUUAGCGGACCGUCUGUCUAGCUUUCACCAGGCCUCACUCACUAUUUCGGAUAAUAUAAUUCACAACUUCUUAACGUAAAUAAAACAACAGUUGUCAAAUUUGAAACAUACAAAUACAUUCAUUUUUGUCUCAAACUUCCAUACAAUCCCAAAUACAUCAAAAGAUUGGAGUUCUAAAUACAUUCAACCCUAAUCGAGCGAUUAGUGUGAUUACAAUUAUAAAAUUUUCAAAAAUUAGACUACGCUAGUCUGUAUAAGUCUCACGCCUCGCUCGUACCCCCUGUAAGGAAAAGAAAACUAAUAAAGUGAGUUAAAACUCAGUGAGGUCUCAAAUAGCAAGUUGACCAAUAAGUACAAGUGACAACACCAUAAUAGUAAAGUAGCGAGCAUUAACAAAUCAAGAAAAUGAGCAAUAACACUUUGGAUGACCAAACAUUAAAUAUUCAGUAUUUCAUGUAAAAGGAUACAGUUGCUUUUGUAAACUAGUUCCACCAUAGCUUGAUCAUAUAGUAGUUGACACUCUGUCAACUUUCAAGUAAGGUAACUAGUCCUGUAGUACAUCAUUUAACUCUAAUCUCCGUCCACCAACCAAAUCCCUUACCGGACCCGAACUCCAAGAUAAACACUGAUAGUAAUACUCGAGUAUACCGAUUAGUCGAGAAGAUAACACUCCGCUCGACAAAAACUAAAGAUUUAGGGUUCGUUAUCGAAUCGGCUAAACCCUUGCCGGUUCGAUUCGAUUAACUAGCCACAAGGUUUCUGAAAUUUCAGACAAGAUACGAAUCAUAUUCAUAUACAUCAAGUCAAUUUCAAUCAAUGAACAAGAAUAUGACACAUUAGGGCAAGUGCGAUAAAGUACAUCCUUGCUCGAUCAAACCAAUUACAUAUUAUUCGAUCACAUUGGUCAACUAUUGAAAACAAGUAUUAAGUUCAAUCAGGUAUUUGGAAGCACCCACCAAAGAUUUAGUGCUUCUUCGGAUCACGUUCAGGUAUUACUCCUGAUUUGGAGUCCAAAUCGGCGAUAAAAUAUCGUUUCAGGUAUUACUCCUAGUUUAAGAGCUUUGAAAUCAACUAAAGUUCGAAACUUAAGCGUUUCAUUUAAUGAAAAACAAGUAAUUGAAACUCAUUUGGUUUCAUGUUCUAUAAAACUCAUGCUCGAUCUUUUAGUUUUGGUAAUAAAGUGAGUAAAAUUUUGAAAUUCCCAUUUGAGUCGAAAAGACGAGAAUAACGUAUUUUUAUUGAUCGUUACUUUCAUUUUUCUCAAGGGUACGAGUUUCGGCAAAAUUCCAAAUUAUAUAUAUCUACGAAAGUAGACUCGACUACCCUAAACAAAUCAAGUUUAAUUCGUCCUCAAAUCUUGGCCUAAGUCGCGAGUACACACGCCUAACUCUUGAGUGAAAAUUUGGGCGGUACGUCCUUUGUAUUUCGUUAUUUUUCAGCAAUUUAUGGCUUUAUUAUUUCCUCAAUUCAGCCCAAGGUCACGCAUAAGCAAUAUUAACACAAUAGCCUUUUAACUAAACUCAAAGUCAUCCAAUUACAAUACAAGUUUAGCAAUGCAACCGGAAACCAAUUUUAAAGACAAAGGCUAAACAGAAGGUUUGAUGUCUCUUGGCGUUUCGGUCACAACUGAAACUACACUUAUCGGUUUGAGGUAAAUUUUAUGGCGUUUUGAAUCUAAGACAGAGAAUUAUAUUUCCUAUGAAGGUAUCAACAUCUAGUUCGUGCAUUUUCAAGGUUAAAAUAUGCAAUCUCAGAGAAAACAGAAAACUAUCCUCGAAAAAGAGCAUUCGGCAGUCAAGGGUAUUUUAGUCAUUUCACACGUUAUGGUGCUCCGAUUGAGUUGAAAUUUUGCAGGCAGCUAGUUAACUCUAUUCCAUACAACUUUCAUGUUUUAAUUUAGACCUGAUUCAGCCUCUAUCAUACUCGGAUAUACAGGUCAGAAACAGGACAGUUUGGCCUACAAUUUUUGGAAUUUGAUGAUUCAAUACUUGAAAAUCACAUUUAUGUCUUGAAUCACUACUCCAAGUCCCUAUUUAAGUUCAUCAAUAUCAUAUACUAGAUAAAAACAAGAAUCACAACUGAAAAUACCAAAUCCUAGCUAAACAUUCCAUCAUAUCAUGUAAAACUCACUAAUUAACCAUCAUAAACCAAGAUUAAGAGCUUCUAUUCAAACUUUAGCAAAAUUGAGAAGAGAAAAAGGAAAGGCAGCCAUAAUACCUUUCAAGGCUGCUUGUAGGAGAAAAUCACAACCCUUCCUUCCAAAACUUUAUCACACAAAACUUCCUAAGUUUUCAAGUGAAAGUUUAAUUGAUUUAGAUUUUUGAUUCAACUCAAACAAGGUCAAAAAUCAAGAUUGGAAUUGAAGUGUUUCUUUCCUCUUUUCUCUCUUAAACUCUCGGCCACCUUGGAGGAUAAUGAGGAAGAAAUGAAGCUCAAGAAAAGAUAAGAAUGUUCGAAUUGGUUUGGUCAAACAAUCUUUGGAUGGUUGCCAAGUGUCGCCGCAAGAUUAAGUCCUUAAUUUUUCUUCUUUUUCCUUUCUUUUUGGUCAACAAUUUCGGCCCUCUCUGGGAUAAUCAAGAGCUGAUAUUUCUGAAAUAAUAGGUAAUAAAUUGGUAGUCAAGUAGUGUAUGCAAUCGGGUAAUGAAUGAUAUGCAUCGGUUCAAAUCGAUUUUCCUUGAAUCACGUGUAUUAGUGUUUUUAUUUAUGAUUCACUCACUUAUGAUUAUCACUUCUAAACAUACAUGAUGGGAUUUUUAUAUCAAUACAAGUUUAAAUCUGAUUUUAUACCUGUUGACUGUAAGUGUACAGGCCGAAAUCGUAAUGUAGGGUAUGUAUCAGGUCGAUCCCACGAGAAGCAAAUUAAACAAGUACUAGGUUCUUAUUUUUCUCUAUUAUUUAGACUUGCAAUAAAUCUAAGUAAGAAAAUUAUUAUGCUGCUAUUGUUUACAAAUAUGGUUUAAUUAAUGUUAAAUGCAAAUGGAGAAAUUUCACUAAAGAUUGAAUUUAGGGAUGUAGAUUUCACUUAUGGCAUAAACAACACAAAUGAAUAGAUUUGCCUCUUGUUAUUUUUCUUGUUUAAUCAGGGAUUCAUUUCCAAUAUUAUCAAAUCUCAUUCUCAUGAUGAAAUGGUUUAGAGUAAUAUAGGGUUUGUUUGGAUUGCUUCAUAUUUCCCCAAUUUUAUUUACUUACAUCAUCUUUACAAUUUCCAAUACACCUUUUUAUCUUCUCAAUAUCUUUUUAUCUCACAUACAUCACAUCACAAAAAGUGCUACAGUAAAAAUAUCUCAAAUAAUCCCAAAUAACUUACAAUCCAAACAGACCCAUAGUUUUCCCUAUUUUUAUGGUGAAAUACUAGUUCUACUCUGUUUUCCUUCAUGAAAUACUGGAAAAUCCACUCAAGUUUACAUCUAUUUUUAUGAACAUACAACUCAAGAUCAACUCAUGUUUUUUCAUUGUUACUAUCAAUUCCCAUUGACUAAUAACAACUAUGAACAUGCUAUUGGUGAUCAAACAACAAGAAGUAAUUACAACUGCACAAAUAGACAAGUUAAUACAAGAUAUAACAAGUGUAAAUCACAUUCAAUUCAUAUUAUUUAGCCAUAAGUUUCAUCUACUUCUUAGAUAAAGAAAAUUAGCUACUCAUGAAUGAAAUAAAAAUCAAACUCACAAGUUUAUUAAUGCAAAACAUCAUAAAGUACAACUACAAGAAAGAUAAAAGAAAGCUUAGCCAAUUAAUGGUGAAACCUUCAAAUUUCUGCUAUGUUCUUGUAUAAGAUGAUUAUAAGAUGAGUCUUCAAUUGUUUUCUCAAGAACUUCUAACUAGAGAGAAAAUGUUAUCAGAUGAAAAACUCCCUACGUAUGGCGUCCAGACCUCUUUUAAUGUCUCUGCAUAAAAACUGUUCAAGAGCUCCAUUUUUCCAAGUUAAAUUCCACCUUUUGAUUCCUAAAUCUCAACUUUGUUAGAAUAGUCAAUAACCAAUGUUUUUGACUUGAAAAUAAGUCACCUUUCUUGUCCUUUUGUCUUCUGAAGCAUGUGCACCGAGUUCCCUUGUAAUUUAUGGCUGGAAAGUAGUAUAAAUACAAGAGAAAUGGCUGAACAAAUUGCAGCUUUUCGGCUACAAAACGCGACUACACAAAACGCGGCAUAAACUCGCGUUUUGUUAACUUGGCCUUGCUUCAACUGCGAUUUUCUCUAUGGUGAAGGUCGAACUAGCUUUUGUGUAAAACACAAAAGUUGCAGCCCUUUGAGUUAGCUUUACAAUGCUUUAAAAAUCAUCCAAAUCGGAGUUUUGUAGCCAGAUAUAUGGUCGAAAUACUAUCGUCUGGUCAAACCCCUGUUUCGAUUUUUGACCAUAGAAUGCAGUUUCUGUAUUCCAACUUUUUGUCCAUGAAAACUGCAGAAUUGGAUUUUGAUGUCUUCAUAACAAUUGUAGGUCUCUUUCUUAUGUUUAAAAUGGUAUAAAGAUUACCUCAAUCCGAUAAGUGUAGUUCCAGAUAUAGUCGAAAUAUCGAAGAGUGUCAAAACUGUCUUGAAUUGCAUUUCCUCAUUUUGAACGUUUUUCACUUCAUUUCUCUUUUAAGCACUUGAAUUCAUCACCAAUUAUUUAUUUUUCAUCUCACUUGACAUUCUUUGGUGAUUGAAUCAUUAAACCUGCAUAAAAAUGAAGUUUUUAUCACUAAAAUCAAUAAAAAUGUAAUAACGGCCACUUUUACCAAAUAAUGUAUAUUUUUACUAAAAUCUAUUUAUUUUAGUUAUAAAACUAAAUAAUCAAAACCAAAAUCAACUAAUACAAUGCACUUAAAAAUAUGUAAAAUAAACUCUUAUCAAAUAUCCCCACACUUGAAUCAUUGAUUGUCCUCAAACAAUUAAAAACACUAACCAACAAUGAUUCCAAGAUUGAAAAUAAACAUACGUAGCAUUUCAACUUCAUUUCCUUGAAUCAAGGUAAAUAACCCUUAUGUGAUCUUUCAAUUAACUUCAAAUACUCAUAGUAUCAAACAAAGAAGAGCCUAGUAUGUGGCGACCCCACUUCUCCCUAAGGCAAACCAACGGGUUGGCGGGCCGCCUGUCCAACUCUCGCCAGGACUCACGCAAGCAUUCUAACCCAAAUUCUUUCGAAGAAUAAUCUAAUCUAUUACAAAACAAUUCUCCCGAAAAAGACCGUAACUAAAAUCACAUUAACUUCAGAGAUAGCAGUGAUUUAAAAUAGCCAAUCGAAGCUCUAAAACGUCCCACGUGCUACAUACAAGGUAUAAAGUCGUAUCAAUCCAGAUGGAUAAUUACAUACAUCACUAUUACAAACUUACAAGUCAAACACUCGAAUUAGGGUUUACACAUUUUCCAGUUUCAAGUGGCAAUCCAAAAUGAAAGUACAUAAUCUCAAUUAACGCAUUACAGCCCACAAAAUAAGUCUUAGUAUUCAAAUACAUUCCAAAAGGAAAACAUGAGUAAGUUUCAAAGCUUUCAACUUCCAGAGCCUGUUAAGAAAAACAAAUAAACGUGGGGUGAGCUAACGCUCAGUGGUGCCCAAAAACAUGCAAUCAUGUAAAUCAAACACCGAGUAAUAACUUAACCAAAUUGAACAGUUAGGAAAGCGUAUAACAGCACAAGGUAGGAUACAGGGGCUCUCAGGAGCCAUUUUCCUCGCUUAAUCACCAUUCAUCGUAGUUGACCCUCCGUCAACUCUCACUAUUUAUAGUCCAUGUAGAUCCACUCAUUUUUACUCAUAACCCGUCACCGUUCAUACCCCUGUCCCGGACCCGAACAACGACUAAGAACGCAGUAUACUCGAGAUAUACCCGUAGAUGAUUGAUCGAGGGAUUCACCCAACGACGUUAUUGUAGUAAGAUUCAUGCGUCGAAGGAUUCACCCAACGACGUUAUUGCGUUUAGAUUCAUGAGAAAAUGAUUCACGCAAGUCACCACUCGAACGGCUAAUGCGAUAAAGUACACACUGCUCACUUCGAUGCAUCAAAAACUAGUUUGCAAAUUAUCACAUAUUGAGUCAAGAAAGCACUUUAACCAAGUAAGCAUAGAACAAGCAGGGACACUCACCAAGAGUGAAGUUCAGAUGUCAAAUUGGGAAUCGAAUUUCGCGUCCUAGCAAUAUCCUAGAAUACCAAAUUUUGAAACUAUAAGUUUUUAUUCAGUUUUUAAGCUUAUACACAUCGAGAUUUAUCUAAUAUAUUACUAGUUUACUUUCCCAUAGUAAAUUCAAGAAUCUACUUAGGUUGAAGCUUGACAAAAGUAGUAGAAAUGUUUCUUAUAGUUUUCCUUGAGAUAUUUUUCCUUAUAAAAGGGUAACUAGUAUUAUUUUUUUGAAAUAAGUCGACAAACCUCUUAACAUCAAAGCUAGAAAGAUACCUUGAAAAUUUCUUUAAAGCUACGGUUCUUGCAAAAAUUAUCACUAAAACUGUUUUACCUAAAAUAAAGUUUCUUGCCGAGCAAGUUUCUACAUUUUUAAUUAAAGUUAUUAAAAUUCUUAUUUUGGAACUUUUCCUACCGACAACUAUCCAAGGGCAAAUUUUAAAGAAAGAAAAGGAAUUAAAAUAAGAUUUAGGGUUUUUAAAAGCUAGAGAAAUUAUUUUCUAUAACUAUCAAGGUUAGUUUGAACUAAAGGAAAAUUUCGAGUUGGCAAGGUUUAGAAAAUCCUUUCACGAAAUUUCUAACUUUAACCUUCAGUGCUAAGUUCUAUCGUACCAUACUAGAGUGAAGAUAUAUUUAAAUAGCUUGCUUAAAAACUUCUCAAGUUCACAGGACCAAAAUGAAUUCCUUACGAUUCCGAUUUACAAGCACAUAAUAUUUCAGAUUUGUCAAUAUGACCAACUCACAUUUCAAAUAGAAAUCUCACUAGGGUUUCGUCAAUCAUUAGCCCUAGGUUUCAACAGAUUCAAUUCUGAUCAAAAAUAAAACGAAUGACCAAGGUUUCGUCAAUCAUUAGCACUUGGUUUUGGCAAGCUCAUAUCACAUUUUAAUUAAAACAAAAUGAAGGUAAGACCUCCAAGAAAUUCCAGCAAUUAAAGUUCAUCAUCCUUUAAUAUUUAUAAAAUCAUUCAAAUGGCCAAGGGUUUCAUCAAUCAUUAGCCCUUAACAACCAUCAAUCACUUCCAACCACAAUUAAAUCAGGAAUUCAAAUCACAAUUAAGCUAAAUGUUCAAUCCAAGUCAAAAUUCAGUUUCAUGAAGAAACAGGACAUUCAAGCAGGACAGCCUACUUUGAGGAAUCAUGGACAGCAGUACACAUGGAGGAAAAAUAUGAAAUUUCUACAGAACCAAGGCUCAUGAUUCUAGUUUCAAAUGCCAUUGACGGCACCUUAAACGGAUUUUCCUACACCAAGAUAUAAGCAUUUUAUUGAGACUGGUCAGUGAAAUCCGAAAAUCUGAAGACUCAUUUUUCACUUGUGAAAAACUCCUUUUUCUCUUUUAACACCAUAAGGUUUUUAUUCAAACCAUCCAUACAUUUCUUAUAGAACUCUAAAACAACAUAUUUCAGACAUUUCCAACCAUUAUGUUUCAAAGAAAAAUUUUAAAACCAAGUUGAGAUUCCAACUCAACCUUCGGCUACCACAAAAGAAAUUCCAGCAUUUAUAUGCCAAUAUUUUUGGUUCAAUCUUUCAAUAUAUCCAAUAUUUUAUUGCUAAACAACUUACACAACUUAAAAUUUACAUCUCCUAUGUAUUUCUAAAUCAUUAUAUUCCAAGGGGAAAAAAAUAAAAUAAAAUAAAUUUCCAGAAACCAAUUAAAAUUUUCAAAGACAAACUGAAAAUUCUGGUUCAUAACCCUCGGCCAUCAAUACCUUUCCAGCACUUAGGGUUUUAUAAAUCCAACUUUUCCUUGGCUAAAACAUGAUUUUAGAUUCUCAAAUUCGUCAUGUGAACCUUUGGCUAGCUAAUUAACAUUUCUGGUUCAAAAUCGAAUUCGAAUAACAGUUUCAAACAUCCCAAAAGUCCAGAAAUCUGUCCAGCUAGUCACGGAUGAACAUGUAUGAAGAAACUUUCUGUUUUCAUUUUAUUUUCUUGGUUAAAACAUAGUAUUACUUACUCAAAUUUGACUUGUAAACACUUAGUUAACCGAUUAACAUUUCCAGCUCGAAAUUAAGUUCAAACAACUGUUAUAAUCCUCAAAAUUUUCAGGUUUAACUCACGGUAGUUCAGAAAAAAUUUUUUUAGAAAUUGUAUGUUCUUAAUCUAGCUUUUUCCUUGGCUAAAUCAGUAUUUUAGGAACUCAAAUUCAACAUGCAAAGCCUUAAUUGUAUUAAUCAUCCAAGUUUAAGUUAACUAAUCAUAAUCUUAGGUUUUGAUCAUCACAACAAAGCAGAUUACAUCAUGAAAUUCUUAAUCAAUUCUUGGUCAACUAUUUUCUUUUCAAAACAGAAUUUUCUUAUGCCUUAACAUCAUCAUCCGAGUCUAGAUUCCACAUGCAACACCCUAAUCAACUUAAUCUUUCACUUUUUAGUUAACUAAUCAUGAUCUCAACCUCAGGUUAUCAAAAUUGGAUAGAUUAGAAACUGCAUUACUUUGCUAAUCUCUCGGCCGAACUAUUUAGCCAUCCAGUUAGAUUUUUCUUUUUCUAAUGUCUCAUCCGAUGGUUUAAAAUCAACAUGCAAAGGUGGAACUAACUUAUUCAUCUUGUCUUAAGUUAGGGAGACGCAUCUUUAAGUUCAGAUUGUCACAGGGAUGCAAAAAUAAAGCUACAUUUCCAAACCAGUUCCUCGGCAAAAACAUUUUCAUCAAAACAGAAUUUUCUAGUGUCUUGAAUUUAUCAACCGAUUGCACAAGCAACACAUGCAGGCACUGAUAUGUCUUUAUCUAUUAGUAAUUAACCUAAUUUAGCCCAGCAAUUACCUCAGAUACAAGCUAAGCCUACGCACAAGAAGUCUGGAAUUUCUUUCUUCCUCUCGGCUCUCACGCACGGCUUGGAGGGUUGGUUGCGGUUGCAGUGGUUGCGGCUGAGAACUGGUUGCAGCUGGUGGAGAUGGAGGUGCAGAAUGGUGAAGCUCACUCACGAUUUUCUCCCUGGUUUCGCUCCAGCUCACGGCAGAACCAGAAAAUUUUGCAACUCACGGCUUCUUCUCUCAGUUCCUCUUUGUCGAUGAUAACGAGACAAAGAGGAAAUGUGGUUGUGGAGAGGAAGUGUUGUGGUCUGAGGGAAUUUUGUGCAGAGGAAAUGGAAUGGUGGUUUAUGAUAUAGGAACGAAGAGGUAGAGAUAUGGUGCCACGGUUUUGGAGAAGGGUUUGAGUGUAGGAAAUGGUUACAUAUAGAAUUGGUGAAAAUGUGAUUGGCCGAUUGGGGCGGUGAUUGAGAUGCUGUCAGAAGGAUUGUUUGGUUUUGCAUGAAAAUGUUGUGGUUGUAAGGCAUUUUAGUCUUUUCACUUUGCUUCCUAACCUCUACUUAAAUUCUCCAUUCUAAUUUUAAAACAAAAAAUUAUCCCCAAGUGUGAUUUGAACGCCUAAUUAUACACUAGUAUACUUAAACCAUUUUUUUAUCGAAUAUUUAUCGAUUAAAAAUUUAAUAUUAAGGUUCCUAGUAAUUCCUAACAUUAUUUAGCGAUUAAAUUAGUUAUCAGAAUUUUCAAUUAUUUAUUCUCAAGAGAUAGAGUUAGUCUAACUCGAAAUUUAUCAAUUUAGUAAUAUAAGGUCAAAUGAAAUAAUAAUUUAAUACAAGUGUGUCAGUUUGCACAUAAAAAUUAUUUUUACGUACUUAAUUGCGAACAAGCAAAAGUAAUGCUAGAAAUUAUUAAGAAAUAAAAGAAAUGCAAAUGAAAUAUGCACUGGCUUAUAUAUCUAUUUAGUCUAAUCUCCAAAUCGGCUAUGCGGUCGAACUGGGUAUCCACCAUGAUACUCAGCUCCUCCACAUCCUGGGUCAAGGUGUGGUUAGUGUCCCACAAGUGGCGGCGCUCAUCAUCAAGGGAUAACACCAAGGCGUUGGGAUACGCGUACGUGGCUCUACACUGGCAUCUAGGGUGGCUAUCAGCAGGUGGUAUCAGAGCCUAGGUUAGAAAAGUUAUUUGAAAGACAUAUUAGAUAUGUUAGAAACCCUAAUCCUCUCUAGGAAUAAGAAUUGAGACCAUUAGAUAUACCUUAAGUGAUAUCUGACCCAGUUAGCUAUUUAAGUUCUAACCCUUAAGUAUUGAUUAUUUUGCAGGUAUGGAGAAUGGUAAUGGACAUGUUAAUGGUAGUAGCGCGGCUAAUGGACAUGUAGAGCUGCUGAGAUCCAUUUCCUAUAGGCCUCGAGGUGGAGGAGACCGAGUUUGAUACUCACCUGCUGAUAGGCACCCUAGAUGCCAGUGUAGAGCCACGUAUGCGUAUUCCAACGCCUUGGUGUUAUUCCUUGAUGAUGAGCGCCGCCACUUGUGGGACACUAACCACACCUUGACCCAGGAUGUGGAGGAGCUGAGUAUCAUGAUGGAUACCCAGUUCGACCGCAUAGCCGAUUUGGAGAUUAGGCUAACUGCUGAGCAUAAUAUGCUGGAGGCCGCUCGUUUGGAGAUAGAGCGACAGAGGUUUAGGGUGACCCGACUAGCUGAGGGGAUCCGUGAUAGGAGUGCUGGCAUCAGGGCUGAUGCAGCUAUGCUUAUGGACGAGGCCACUAGUUACCUUCAGGGUAACGAGCAGGCAGGCGCAGAGGAGGAUCCGGCGGAGGACGUCGCCCCUGAUAGCCCUGCUGAGGGUUAGGUUAGGUUGACUUGAUAGUACUAGAUAUGUAGGAUCAGAAAAGGAAUAUUAGUCAAGUUAUCAAAUUUUGUCUAGGUGAAUGACUUGCUUCCGAGGCACCAUAUUCCUAAUUUUUGUUUAAGGGAUUAUCUGUAUAUAUUUUUCCUAACUUAUGUGCCUUAUUUUUGAAAAUGUUCCAACUUGUUAAUUGUAUAACUGUUCCGCAGAAAUAUAUGAUAAGUGUUUCAUUUCCUUUUCCUCCAUUUUCAUGUUGAUUUUAAUCACAUAAAGAAUAUUAAUAAUUGAAUAUAAAUAAAAUUUUGCUUAAUUGUCUUACUCUUCAGUAAUAGGCAUAAUUAGGCAAUGGGUCGUCAAGUAGUAGGAAGGAGCCGUGGGAGACCCACUAGACAACACCCGGAAGCGGGUGGUGAUAGGGAACCCGAGCUCAAUCGAGACCAAGGCAAGAGGGAGUGGCCGGAGAUCGAGUGGCCACCGCAAUUAACCGUAUCACUGACGUCCUAAAGCGUUUGACUGAACACCAACCCUCUGGACCAGUGCACCGCCAAGGAGGCCGAACCGAUUCCGAGGAUCAGGCACUGGAGAGGUUUUUGAAGUUUGGACCUCUUAAGUUCUACGGAGGACCCGAACCUGAGAUAGCUGAGGGAUGGUGGGAGAGAAUCUCCGACAUCUUCGCAGCUUUAAACUACACGGAAGAACGGCAGGUGACUUUCGCCGCAUUCCAGUUUGAGGGAGCUGCUCGCUCAUGGUGGAAUCUGGUUAGGAUUAACUGGGACAGGAAUCAUACUCCAAGAACUUGGGCAAACUUCACAAGAGAGUUCAAUGCCAAAUUCCUUCCACCUCUCAUUCAAGAGAAGAGAGAAGAUUUCAUUAGAUGCAAGCAAGGGGCGAUGAGUGUUGUCGAAUAUGAAGUCCAGUUCACAAAGCUAUCCCGCUUUGCACCUGAGUUGAUAACCACUGAGCAAAGGCGUGUCUGGAGGUUUGUGCAGGGUUUGAAUGUGGAACUACAGGAAGGUUUAGCCGCCGUGAGGAUAGAUACUUUUGCAGAUGCUGUCGAAAGAGCUCAGAGAGUUGAAGUAGCUAGAGCUCAAGUGAAAUCUUUUCAGGCUAAGAAAAGAUUUGCCCCCAACAGUAGUUGAGAGCCGACGUAUGGAAAUGUUCCACCGGCUAAAGUGGGCCGAGGAACAAGCGGAGUGACUAGUCCCGGAGCACCGCGAGGUGCACUAGCAAGAGGAACCGGGGCAAGGAAUGCAGGGGGAAGAAGCAAUGGAACUAGAGGGGGACCGAUUGGGAGAAGGACAACCUAGGAAUAACUCGCAGGGAGGUCGAGCAAUAAUUCCUCAAGUGACCUGUACUUAUUGCAAGAAACCUAGUCAUACUAUGGAUGGCUGCUGGAAGAAGCAAGGAAGGUGCUUGAGAUGCGGAAGUAGCGAGCACUAAAUUUCUGGAUGUCCAAAAAUACAGGAAGGGACUACUUCGAACGCUAGACCAAACACUUCUGGAGGGAGCCGGCCGACAGUUCCUGCCAGAGUGUAUGCUAUAGAUGACCAACCUGUACCUGAUUCCUCGGAAGUCGUGGAAGGUACUCUCCCCAUUUUUCAUCGAUUAGCUAAAGCGUUAAUUGACCCUGGUGCAACUCAUUCAUUCGUAAAUACAUCUUUUAUGUCUGGAAUAGAUGUGAAACCUGUUAGAUUAUCCUUCGAUCUUGAAGUUAGGACACCAAUGGGUAAUAAGAAGAUAAUCGCUAGCUUAGCCUAUAAGAAUUGUGAAUUCUGGAUUGGAGAGCGUAAAAUGCUAGUGGAUCUAAUCAGUUUGGACAUAAAAGGGUACGAUGUUAUCAUAGGAAUGGAUUUCCUACGCCAGUAUCAUGCUAAGCUUGAUUGCCGAGCGAAAGUGGUAGAAUUCUGUAUACCUGGAGAAGCAACCCUGAGGUUAGAUGUUAAGGGUAGGUUAGCAUCAUCUGCUAUGAUCUCAGGGAUACGGGCGAGGAAAAUGUUGUCAAAAGGAGCUCAAGGUUUCUUAGCCUUCUUGAUUAAUGCUCCCAGUGAUCAAGUGAAGUUAGAAGAUGUACUAGUGGUACGGGAAUUUCCGGAUGUUUUUUUCGAAGAGCUAAAGACUCUACCGCCGGAAAGAGAAGUGGAAUUUAAGAUUGACUUGGUGUCUGGAACAGCUCCAAUUUCUAAAACUCCGUACCGAAUGGCUCCUGCCGAGGUAAAGGAGUUGAAAAUUCAACUGCAAGAUCUCUUGGAGAAAGGUUUUGUGAAGGAGAGUGAUUCACCGUGGGAAGCACCCGUUCUAUUUGUUAAGAAAAAGGACGGAAGCUUGAGAUUAUGUAUCGAUUACCGAGGGUUAAAUGAGAUUACAAUUAAGAAUAAAUACCCUUUACCGUUGAUAGAUAGUUUGUUCGACCAACUGCAAGGGUCAGUAGUUUUCUCUAAACUGGACUUGAGGCAAGGGUAUUACCAGUUAAAGAUUAAAAAGGAGGAUAUACCCAAGAUUGCUUUUAGUACGAGAUAUGGACAUUCUGAGUUCGCAAUCAUGCCUUUUGGUUUAACUAAUGCACCAGCGGCAUUCAUGGAUUUAAUGCAGAGAGUCUUUAAGAAGUAUCUGGAUCAGUUUGUAGUGGUUUUCAUCGACGAUAUCUUGAUAUACUCUAAGACUCGAGAGGAACAUGUUAAGCACUUGGAGAUAGUCUUGUAAAUAUUAAGGGAGUAGAAGCUGUAUGCCAAAUUCAGCAAGUGCGAGUUUUGGCUGGAAGAAAUAUCUUUUCUAGGACAUAAAGUUUCCAAGGAGGGAAUUGCCGUGGAUCUGGCAAAAGUUGAGGCCGUUAUGAAUUGGAAGCAGCCGGAAAUUCCAACUGAAGUUAGAAGUUUCUUGGGAUUAGCAGGUUAUUAUAGGCGAUUUAUCAAGGAUUUUUCGAAAAUUGCUGGACCCAUGACCGAGCUAACCAAGAAAGGGAAUAGGUUCAUUUGGACUUCGAAGUGCGAGUCAAGUUUUCAGGAAUUAAAGAAGCGUUUAACAUCCGCUCCUGUUUUGGUGUUACCUGAUGGGAAAAAAGGUUAUGCCGUAUACUUCGAUGCUUCUGGAGAAGGUCUAGGAUGUGUUUUAAUGCAAAAUGGUAAAGUGAUUGCCUACGCUUCCAGGAGACUGAAACCUCACGAACAAAACUACCCAACUCAUGACUUAGAGUUAGCAGCAGUGAUUUUCGCCUUAAAGAAAUGGAGACACUACUUGUAUGGCGUGACUUUUGAGAUUUAUACGGACCAUAAGAGUCUCAAGUAUUUGUUCUCCCAGAAGGAACUAAAUUUGAGACAAAGGCGAUGGGUACAAUUUGUGGAAGAUUAUGACUGUUCAAUUAACUACCACCCAGGAAAAGCUAAUGUGAUAGCUGACGCUCUAAGUAGAAAGGCCCAAGUAGCAGGGUUAAUGGUUAAAGAGUGGGACAUGCUAGAAGAAAUAAGUGGUUGGAACCCUCGCUUGGAGAAACUGAAGAUAUUAUUUGGGAACUUAUCGUUAAAAUCACCAUUACUAGAGCGUAUUAAGGAGGCCCAGAAAAUGGACCCUAUGAUUCAGAAGAAUUUGGAGAAAGUGCAAAAAGGGGAAACCCUAGAUUUUAACUUAGGGUUUGAAGGUGUAUUGAGAUUCCGAAAUCGAAUUGUGAUUCCGGCAGAUGAAAAGAUAAGAAAAGAAAUUUUAGAAGAAUCACAUCGAUCGAAGUAUACCAUACAUCCAGGGGUGACUAAGAUGUAUCAUGAUGUGAAGGGAUUAUACUGGUGGGAAGGUUUGAAAAAGAACGUGGCCGAGUUUGUACAGAGAUGCUUGAUCUGCCAACAAGUAAAAGCUGAGCAUCAGAAGCCCUCUGGUUUAUUGCAACCGUUAGAAAUCCCUGAAUGGAAAUGGGAACAUAUAACAAUGGAUUUUGUAACGGGAUUGCCUAGAAGUCAAAAAGGAUUUGAUGCAAUUUGGGUAAUAGUUGACCGACUCACUAAAUCUGUACAUUUCCUACCCAUAAGCAUGAGUUUUUCUUUGGAAAAACUGGUCAAGUUGUACACAGAAGAGAUCCUAAGAUUACAUGGUAUCCCUGUAAGUAUCGUGUCUGAUCGAGACCCAAGGUUUGUCUCGCGUUUUUGGCAGAAAUUUCAGGAGUCUUUGGGGACCAAGUUGAAAUUUAGUACUGCUUACCAUCCCCAAACCGACGGGCAGGCGGAAAGAACAAUUCAAACUUUGGAGGAUCUGCUGAGAUCGUGUAUAUUGGAUUUUGGAGGUAAAUUGAGUAAUUAUAUGACCUUAAUAGAAUUUGCGUAUAACAACAGUUAUCAAACCUCAAUUCAAAUGGCACCUUAUGAAGCUUUGUAUGGGAGAAGGUGUCGAUCUCCGAUUAAUUGGGAUGAAAUAGGAGAGAAGAAGAUUGUAGAUCCAACAGCGAUACCUUGGAUAGAAGAAACCCAGGAGAAAGUGAAACUAAUUAGAGAAAGGCUUCAAACCGCUCAGAGUAGACAAAAGAGCGACGCCGACACAAGGAGGAAAGAUUUGGAAUUCGAAGUAGGAGACAAGGUCUUCCUAAGAAUUAAAUCCUUGAAGGGCGGAGUAGUGUCUAAGAAAGGUAAGAAGCUAAAGCCAAGGUAUAUCGGACCUUUCGAAAUUUUGAAGCGAGUUGGGAAUGUAGCAUAUCAGCUGAAGUUACCCGCAAGCAUGGCUAAGGUUCACGAUGUAUUUCACGUUUUCAUGCUUAAGAAAUAUUAUUCCGACCCAAGUCAUGUGCUGCCACUGGAGGGAAUUGAAGUGGAUGAGACGUUAACGUAUGAAGAAGGACUGGUCAAGAUUUUGGAAAGAAAAGUGAAGGAGCUGAGGAAUAAGAAAAUUCCUUUGGUAAAGAUUGUAUGGAGAAAUCAUGGACUUGAGGAAGCAACUUGGGAAUUGGAGGAGGAAAUGCAGAAAAAGUACCCUGAUUUAUUUCCUUAGAAUGUGUGAAUUUUGAGGACAAAAUUCUUUGUAAGGAGGGGAGGAUGUGAGAACCCUGAAAAUAGAUAUAUAAGCCAGUGCAUAUUUCAUUUGCAUUUCUUUUAUUCCUUAAUAAUUUCUAGCAUUACUUUUACUUGUUCGCAAUUAAGUACGUAAAAAUAAUUUUUAUGUGCAAACUGACACACUUGUAUUAAAUUAUUAUUUCAUUUGACCUUAUAUUAUUAAAUUGAUAAAUUUCGAGUUAGACUAACUCUAUCUCUUGAGAAUAAAUAAUUGGAAAUUCUGAUAACUAAUUUAAUCGCUAAAUAAUGUUAGGAAUUACUAGGAACCUUAAUAUUAAAUUUUUAAUCGAUAAAUAUUCGAUAAAAAAAAUAGUUUAAGUAUACUAGUGUAUAAUUAGGCGUUCAAAUCACACUUGGGGAUAAUUUUUGGUUUUAAGAUUAGAAUGGAGAAUUUAAGUAGAGGUUAGGAAGCAAAGUGAAAAGACUAAAAUGCCUUACAACCACAACAUUUUCAUGUAAAACCAAACAAUCCCUCUGACAGCAUCUCAAUCACCGCCCCAAUCGGCCAAUCACAUUUUCACCAAUUCUAUACGCAACCAUUUCCUACACUAAAACCCUUCUCCAAAAUCGCGGCACCAUAUCUUUACUUCUUCGUUCCUAUAUCACAAACCACCAUUCCAUUUCCUCUGCACAAAAUUUUCUCAGACCACAACACUUCCUCUCCACAACCACAUUUCCUCUUUGUCUCGUUAUCAUCGACAAAGAGGAACUGAGGGAAGAAGCCGUGAGCUGCAAAAUUUUCUGGUUCUGCCGUGAGUUGGAGCGAAACCAGGGAGAAAAUCGUGAGUGAGUUUCACCAUUCUGCACCUCCAUCUCCACCAGCUGCAACCAGCUCUCAGCCGCAACCACUGCAACCGCAACCAACCCUCCAAGCCGUGCGUGAGAGCCGAGAGGAAGAAAGAAAUUCCAGACUUCUUGUGCGUAGGCUUGGCUUGUAUCUGAGGUAAUUGCUGGGCUAAAUUAGGUUAAUUACUAAUAGAUAAAAACAUAUCAGAGCCUGCAUGUGUUGCUUGUGCAAUCGGUUGAUGAAUUCAAGACACUAGAAAAUUCUGUUUUGAUGAAAAUGUUUUUGCCGAGGAACUGGUUUGGAAAUGUAACUUUAUUUUUGCUUCCCUGUGACAAUCUGAACUUAAAGAUGUGUCUCCCUAACUUAAGACAAGAUGAAUAAGUUAGUUCCAGCUUUGCAUGUUGAUUUUAAACCAUCGGAUGAGACAUUAGAAAAAGAAAAAUCUAACUGGAUGGCUAAAUGGUUCGGCCGAGAGAUUAGCAAGGUAAUGCAGUUUCUAAUCUGUCCAAUUUUGAUAACCUGAGGUUGAGAUCAUGAUUAGUUAACUAAAAAGUGAAAGAUUAAGUUGAUAUGAGUGUUGCAUGUGGAAUCUAGACUCGGAUGAUGAUGUUAAGGCAUAAGAAAAUUCUGUUUUGAAAAGAAAAUGGUUGACCGAGAAUUGAUUAAGAAUUUCAUGAUGUAAUCUGCUUUGUUGUGAUGAUCAAAACCUGAGAUUAUGAUUAGUUAACUUAAACUUGGAUGAUUAAUACAAUUAAGGCUUUGCAUGUUGAAUUUGAGUUCCUAAAAUGCUGAUUUAACCAAGGAAAAAGCUAGAUUAAGAACAUACAAUUUCUGGAAAAUUUUUUUUGUGAACUACCGUGAGUUAAACUUGGAAAUUUUGAGGAUUAUAACAGUUGUUUGAACUUAAUUUCGAGCUGGAAAUGUUAAUCGGUUAACUAAGUGUUUACAAGUCAAAUUUGAGUAAGUAAUACUAUGUUUUAAUCAAGAAAAUAAAAUAAAAACAGAAAGUUUCUUCAUACAUGUUCAUCCGUGACUAGCUGGACAGAUUUCUGAAUUUUUGGGAUGUUUGAAGCUGUUAUUCGAAUUCGAUUUUGAACCAGAAAUGUUAAUUAGCUAGCCAAAGGUUCACAUGACGAAUUUGAGAAUCUAAAAUCAUGUUUUAGCCAAGGAAAAGUUGGAUUUAUAAAACCCUAAGUGCUGGAAAGGUAUUGAUGGCCGAGGGUUAUGAACCAGAAUUUUCAGUUUGUCUUUGAAAAUUUUAAUUGGUUUCUGGAAUUUUAUUUUAUUUUAUUUUUUUCCCGUUGGAAUAUAAUGGUUUAGAAAUACAUAGGAGAUGUAAAUUUUAAGUUGUGUAAGUUGUUUAGCAAUAAAAUAUUGGAUAUAUUGAAAGAUUGAACAAAAAAUGUUGGCAUAUAAAUGCUGGAAUUUCUUUUGUGAUAGCUGAAGGUUGAGUUGGAAUCUCAGCUUGGUUUUGAAAUUUUUCUUUGAAACAUAAUGGUUGGAAAUGCCUGAAAUAUGUUGUUUUAGAGUUCUAUAAGAAAUGUAUGGAUGGUUUGAAUAAAAAUCUUAUGGUGUUAAAUGAGAAAAAGGAGUUUUUCACAAGUGAAAAAUGAGUCUUCAGAUUUUCGGAUUUCACUGACCAGUCUCAGUAAAAUACUUAUAUCUUGGUGUAGGAAAAUCCGUUUAAGGUGCCGUCAGUGGCAUUUGAAACUAGAAUCAUGGGCCUUUGUUCUGUAGAAAUUUCAUAUUUUUCCUCCAUGUGUACUGCUGUCCGUGACUCCUCAAAGUAGGCUGUCCUGCUUAAAUGUCCUGUUUCUUCAUGAAACUGAAUUUUGACUUGAAUCGAACAUUUAGCUUAAUUGUGAUUUGAAUUCCUGAUUGAAUUAUGGUUGGAAGUGAUUGAUGGUUGUCAAGGGCUAAUGAUUGAUGAAGCCCUUGGCCAUUUGAAUGAUUUUAUAAAUAUUAAAGGAUGAUGAACUUUAAUUGCUGGAAUUUCUUGGAGGCGUUACCUUCAUUUUGUUUUAGUUAAGAUGUGAUAUGAGAUUGCCAAAAUCAAGUGCUAAUGAUUGACGAAACCUUGGUCAUUCGUUUUAUUCUUGAUCAGAAUUGAAUCUGUUGAAACCUAGGGCUAAUGAUUGACGAAACUCUAGUGAAAUUUCUAUUUGAAAUGUGAGUUGGUCAUAUUGACAAAUAUGAAAUAUUAUGUGCUUGUAAAUCGGAAUCGUAAGGAAUUUAUUUUGGUCCUGUGAACUUGAGAAGUUUUUAAGCAAGCUAUUUAAAUAUAUCUUCACUCUAAUAUGGUACGAUAGAACUUAGCACUGAAGGUUAAAGUUAGAAAUUUCGUGUAGGAAUUUUCUAAACCUUGCCAACUCGAAAUUUUCCUUCAACUCGAACUAACCUUAAUAGUUAUAGAAAAUAAUUUCUCUAACUUUUGAAAACCCUAAGUCUUAUUUUAAUUUCUUUUCUUUCUUUAAAAUUUGCCCUUGGAUAGUUGUCGGUAGGAAAGGUUCCAAAAUAAGAAUUUUAAUAACUUUAAUUAAAAAUGAAAAAACUUGCUCGACAAGAAACUUUAUUUUAGGUAAAAUAGUUUUAGUGAUAAUUUUUGCAAGAACCGUAGCUUUAAAGAAAUUUUCAAGAUAUCUUUCUAACUUUGAUGUUAAGAGGUUUGUCGACUUAUUUCAAGAAAAUAAUACUAGUUACCCUUUUAUAAGGAAAAAUAUCUCAAGGAAAACUAUAAGAAAUAUUUCUACUACUUUUGUCAAGUUUCAACCUAAGUAGAUUCUUGAAUUUACUAUGAGAAAGUAAACUAGUAAUAUAUUAGAUAAAUCUUGAUGUGUAUAAGCUUAAAAACUGAAUAGAAACUUAUAGUUUCAAAAUUUGGUAUUCUAGGAUAUUGCGAGGACGCGGAAUUCGAUUCCCAAUUUGACAUCUGAACUUCACUCUUGGUGAGUGUCCCUGCUUGUUCUAUGCUUACUUGGUUAAAGUGCUUUCUUGACUCAAUAUGUGAUAAUUUGCAAACUAGUUUUUGAUUCAUCGAAGUGAGCAGUGUGUACUUUAUCGCACUAGCCGUUCGAGUGGUGACUUGCGUGAAUCAUUUUCUCAUGAAUCUAAACGCAGUAACGUCGUUGGGUGAAUCUCUCGACGUAUGAAUCUGACUGCAAUCACGUUGUUGGGUGAAUCACUCGACGCAUGAAUCUAACUACAAUAACGUCGUUGGGUGAAUCUCUCGACCAAUCAUCUACGGGUAUAUCUCGAGUAUACUGCGUCCUUAGUCGGUGUUCGGGCCCGGGACAGGGGUAUGAACGGUGACGGGUUAGGAGUAAAAAUGAGUGGAUCUACAUGGACUAUAAGUAGUGAGAGUUGACGGAGGGUCAACUACGAUGAAUGGUGAUUAAGCGAGGAAAAUGGCUCCUGAGAACCCCUGUAUCCUACCUUGUGCUGUUAUACGCUUUCCUAACUGUUCAAUUUGGUUAAGUUAUUACUCGCUGUUUGAUUUACAUGAUUGCAUGUUUUGGGGCACUACUGAGCGUUAGCUCACCCCACGUUUAUUUGUUUUCCUUAACAGGCUCUGGAAGUUGAAAGCUUUGAAACUUACUCAUGUUUUCCUUUUGGAAUGUAUUUGAAUACUAAGACUUACUCAUGGAGUCGCCACAUAGUAUACUAUAAUUUUACUAAUUCAACUCAACUUCUCAUUUUUAUCUAAUUUCACAAACAAGCAACUCCUAUAGUCAAUAAAGAUGCUAACUAAUCUCAUGAUCAACUUCUUAUUUUUCUUAAAAGGGCUUUAUUUUCUUUUUCUUCUUCUUUUUUUUUAUAUGUCUUUUAAGAGUUAAAUACUACUUAAGUUGUGAAAAAAUGCCUUUUGACGCAAAAAUUGAUAUUUUUAGAUGAAGAUCACCAGUUACUCAACAUUUCACAUACUCAAGUUACUGUUCAUACUUCUAAUUCAAGUACCGUUUUACGCGAGAGUCGACAUUUGUAGAUGAAAACUCCCGAUUACUAAGUACAAGAACCAUUGGAGUAGAAUAUUUUUUUUGAUAUAUAUAUAAAGAAAUAAUAAAAUUCCUUCUAAGAAUAAUCAUGAGAAAAGCAUGACACUUAUUGACCAUAUUAAUUUCUUAACUUAUAAAAUCAGAUAAAAAGAAGAAUUUUCAUCAAAUAUGCAAAAUGUAAGCAUAAUUUUCUUCACUUACUAGAUAUACUUUCCUAUAGAUGUAAAAAUUAUAAUUACAUAAUAGUCAUUUCCAAAUGAAAUUAGAAAAGAAGUUUCAAAAUCGCAUAUAUUUAUUUCAAAAGGAUAAGUGAUAAAAUUUUAUUUAUUUAUUAGGAUUAUUGUAUAUAUAUGUAUAAGGUUUUGAAAAAAUUUUGACAGAGUUUCCCCUUAAAAGUGGACUAAACUCCCUGCCAGCAACCACAAGAGACAAAUUUGAAGCACAAGAAAAUAACCAACAUCAAACACAACUAAAAUCACAAGUACCACACAUAUUUCUUUCCUAUACUUAAAAUACACAUAGUCCUCAAUGUGUAGGGAAGGAAAGAAAAGAAAAGAAAAGAAAGAAAUACUUCCCAAGGCAAUGGCUGAGAUCCUUAUCAGCCAUUAAUCACGAACCAUUGUCAAAAUACAAGUACCUACCAAAUAAAAAAAUAAAAUGAAGUUAAACAACUUAAGUUCCACAAGUUAAGAUAAUCAGGCAAGCAAAUCCAGCAACAAAAGAUAGCAUAUGCAGUGUGCCAAGUCAGUCAUCUCUCUCGGUAUCAUCGUCAUCCUCUGCAUCACGAGGGCGGUGGAUGAAUGCCCAAAUGAUCUUCAAUUCGGCUUAGACGAUUCCUAAUGUCAGCAAACUGGUAUGCAAAGUCGUCCAUAUGGUCAAAAAGUCACUGCCAAUUAGUUUGUGACGGAGGAGGUGGUGGUGCUGCAGUAGAUGGCCCAGCUUCAUCGCGAUCAUGUCUAGCCUUCUGUCUCCGCUCUUGAAUAGAGCGUGGAACAUCCCCCGUGCCAAUACCAAGCCGGUGGAGAGUAGUGAUAAAUAAUUUAGUUCUGGGUGGAAUAUACUCCCGCCGUAUGCCUUCCAAGCGAAGCUUAAAAUGCGGGAAGAUCAAGGUAAGUAGACGAGGAAAUGAUAAUUUGAAAUAAGUUGUUUUGCGCCUCGUCGUGGACCGAAUGUGGCUAAUGAUGAUGUUAGGUAGUGAAAUGCGAGCAUAUGGAGAUGUCCAAUUUUGGAAUAUGUAAUCCAAGUAGAUAUCACUCAUGCGAACCUCCGUGUGCCCUGUCUUCUUAGAAAUUACAUUGUGAGCCAUCAUAUAGAUGAUAAGACAAUGACGAGGUUCAAAGACAUUUGCCACUAUGGUCUCCUUCCUUGUAGAGCGAAAAGGUUGGUACUCGAGACCAAACCUAGCCAUGGCCAACGAGGGAUCCCACUUCCUAUUCGGGGGAAUAAACUCUUUCUUCAAAUCUAUUGGACGCCCGUCAUCCAUACACCCCAAAAUAGCGGUUAAAUCUUGACGUGACAAGACGAUUCGUCUUUCACGCAUUCAGGAUUCAACCAUUUCUCCACUAUGGCGCGCCUUACUCUCAAUGUUGACGUAAAAUUCUCGCACCAAGUCGGGGUAGUAAUGAUUUGGUAGGGUAUGUAUCGGCUCGAUCUCACGAGAAUCAAAUUAAACAAGUACUAGGCCUUUAUUUUUCUCUAUUAUUUAGACUUACAAUAAAUUUGAGUAAGAAAAUUAUUAUGUUGUUAUUGUCUACAAAUCUGGUUUAAUCAAUGUUAAAUGUAAAUGGAGAAAUUUCACUAAAGAUUGAAUUUAGGGAUGUAAAUUCCACUUAUGGCGUAAAUAACACAAAUGAAUAGAUUUGUCUCUUGUUAUUUUUUUUGUUUAAUCAGGGAUUCAUUUCCAAUAUUACCAAAUCUCAUUCUCAUGAUGAAAUGGCCUAGAGUAAUAUAGUUUUCCCUAUUUUCAUGGUGAAAUACUAGUUUUACUCUAUUUUUCUUCAUGAAAUGCUGGAAAAUCCACUUAAGUGUACAUCUAUUUUCAUGAACAUACAACUCAAACUCAUGUUUUUUCAUUGUUACUAUCAAUUCUCAUUGACUAAUAACAACUAUGAAUAUGUUAUUGGUGAUCAAACAACAACAAGUAAUUACAACUGCACAAAUAGACAAGUUAAUACAAGAUAUAACAAGUGUAAAUUACAUUCAAUUCAUAUUAUUUAGUCAUAAGUUUCAUCUACUCCCUAAAUAAAAAAAAUUAGCUACUCAUGAAUGAAAUAAAAAUCAAACUCAUAAGUUUAUUAAUGCAAAAUAUCAUAAAAUACAAUUACAAGAAAAAUAUAAGAAAGCUUAGCCAAUUAAUGGUGAAACCCUCAAAUUUCUGCUAUGUUCUUGUACAAGAUGAUUACAAGAUAAGUUUUCAAUUACUUCCUUAAGAACUUCUAGCUAGAGAGAAAAUGUUACCAGAUGAAAAACUCCCUACGUAUGGUGUCCAGACCUCUCCCAAUGUCUCUGUAUAAGAACUGCUCAAGAGCUCCAUUUUUCCAAGUCAAAUUUCACAUUUUGAUUCCCAAAUCUCAACUUUGUUAGGAUAGUUAAUAACCAAUGUUUUUUACUUGAAAAUAAGCUACAUUUCUUGCCCUUUUGUCUUCUGAAGCAUGUGCACAGAAUUUCCUUGCAACUUAUGGCUGGAAAGUAGUAUGAAUACAAGAGAAAUGGCUGAGUAAAUUGCAGCUUUUCGGCUACAAAACGCGACUGCACAAAAUGCAGCAUAAACUCGCGUUUUGUCAACUCGCGUUUUCAACUUGGCCUUGCUUCAACUGCGAUUUUUUCUAUGAUGAAGGUCGAACUAGCUUUUGUACAAAACACAAAAGUUGUAGCCUUUUAAAUUAGCUUUACAAUGCUUCAAGAAUAAUCUAAAUCGGAGUUUUGUAGCCUGAGAUAUGGUUGAAAUACUAUCAUCUUGUCAAAUCCCUAUUUCAAUUUUCGACCACAGAAUGCAGCUUCUGUAUUUCGACUUUUUGUCCAUGAAAACAGCAGAAUUGGAUUUCGAUGUCUUCAUAACAAUUGUAGGUCUCUUUCUUAGUUUUAAAAUGGUAUAAAGAUCACCUCAAUCGGAUAAGUGUAGCUCCAGAUAUGGUCAAAAUACCGAAAAGUUUCAAAACUGUCUUGAAUUGCAUUUCCUCACUUUGAAUGUUUUUCAUUUCAUUUCUCUUUUAACCACUUGAAUUCAUCACCAAUUAUCUAUUUUCACCUCACUUGACAUCCUUUGGUGAUUGAAUCAUUAAACCUGCAUAAAAAUGAAGUUUUUAUCACUAAAAUUAAUAGAAAUGCAAUAAUAGCCACUUUUACCAAACAAUGUAUAUUUUUACCAAAACCUAUUUAUUUUAUUUAUAAGACUAAAUAAUCAAACCAAAAUCAACUAAUAAAAUGCACUUAAAAAUACGUAAAAUAAACUCUUAUCAAAUACCCCCACACUUGAAUCAUUACUUGUUCUGAAGCAAUUAAAAACACUAACCAACAAUGAUUCCAAGUUUGAAAAUAAACAUACGUUGCAUUUCAACUUCAUUUCCUUGAAUCAAGAUAAAUAACGCUUAUGUGAUCCCUCAAUUAAUUUCAAGUACUCGUAGUAUCAAACAAAAAAGAGUCAAGUAUACCAUAAUUUUACUAAUUCAACUCAACAUCUUAUUUUUAUCCAAUUUCACAAGCAAGCAACUCCUAUAGUCGAUAAAGAUACUAACUAAUCUCAUGAUCAACUUUUUAUUUUUCUUAAAGAGGGCUUUAUUUUCUUUUUUUUUUCUUUUUCUUCUUCUCUUUUUUUUAUAUAUAUCUUUUAAGAGUUAAAUACUACUUAAGUUGUGAAAAAAAUGCCUUUUGAUGUAAAGAUUGACAUUUUUAGAUGAAGAUCAUCAGUUACUCAACAUUUUAUAUACUCAAGUUGCUGUUCAUACUUUUAAUUCAAGUACCGUUUUACGCGAGAGUCGACAUUUGUAGAUGAAAACUCUUGGUUACUAAGUACAAGAACCAUUGGAGUAGAAUAUUAUAUAUAUAUAUAUAUAAAGAAAUAAUAAAAUUCCCUUUAAGAAUAAUCAUGAGAAAAGUAUGACACUUAUUGACCAUAUUAAUUUCUUAACUUAUAAAAUCAGAUAAAAAGAAGAAUUUUCAUCAAAUAUGCAAAAUGUAGGCAUAAUUUUCUCCACUUACUAGAUAUACUUUCCAAUAGAUGUAAAAAUUAUAAUAACAUAAUAGUCAUUUCCAAAUUAAAUGAAAAAAAAAGUUUCAAAACCACAUAUAUUUAUUUCAAAAGGAUAAGUGACAAAAUUUUAUUUAUUUUUUAGGAUUAUUAUAUAUAUAUAUGUAUAUGUAUAAGAUUUUGGAAAAAUUUUGACAGAGUUUUCCUUAAAAGUGGACUAAAAUCCCUGCCAGCAACCACAAGAAACAAAUUUGAAGCACAAGAAAUAUAACCAACAUCAAAUACAACUAAAACCACAAGUAUCACAUAUAUUUCUCCCCUACACUUAAAAUAUACAUUGUCCUCAAUGUGUAGGGAAGGAAAGAAAAGAAAAGAAAAGAAAGAAAUACUUUCCAAGGCAAUGACUGAGAUCCUUAUCAGCCAUUAAUCAUGAAUCACUACCAAAAUACAAGUACCUACCAAAUAGAAAACAGAAAAAUAAAAUGAAGUUAAACAACUUAAGUUGCACAAGUUAAGACAAUCAGGCAAGCAAAUCCAGCAACAAAAGAUAGCAUCUGCAGUGCGCCAAGUCAGUCAUCUCCCUCGGCAUCAUCGUCAUCCUCUGCAUCACGAGGGCGGUGGAUGAAUGCCCAAAUGAUCUUCAGUUCGGCUUAGACGAUUCCUAAUGUCUGCAAACUGGUAUGCAAAGUCGUCCAUAUGGUUAAAAAGUCACUGCCAAUUAGUUUGUGACGGAGGAGGUGGUGGUGCUGCAGUAGAUGGCCCAUCUUCAUCGCGACCAUGUCUAGCCUUCUGUCUCCGCUAUUGAACAGAGCGUGGAACAUCCCCCGUGCCAAUACCAAGCCGGUGGAGAGUAGUGAUACAUAAUUUAGCUCUGGGUGGAACAUACUCCCACCGUAUGCCUUCCAAGCGAAGCUUAAAACGCGGGAAGAUCAAGGUAAGUAGACGAGGAAAUGAUAAUUUGAAAGAAUUUGUCUUACGCCUCGUCGUGGACCGAAUGUGGCUAAUGAUGAUGUUAGGCAGUGAAAUGCGAGCAUGUGGAGAUGUCCGAUUAUGGAACAUGUAAUCCAAGAAGUAGAUAUCACUCUUGCGAACCUCCGUGUGCCCUGUCUUCUUAGAAAUUAUAUUGUGAGCCAUCAUAUAGAUGAUAAGACGAUGACGAGGUUCAAAGACAUUUGCCACUAUGGUCUCCUUCCUUGUAGAGCGAAAAAGUUGGUACUCGAGACCAAACCUAGCCAUGGCCAACGAGGGAUCUCACUUCCUAUUUGGGGGAAUAAACUUUUUCUUCAAAUCUACUGGACGCCCGUCAUCUAUACAUCCCAAAAUAGCGGUUAAAUCUUGACGUGACAAGACGAUUCGUCUUCCACGCAUUCAGGAUUCAACCAUUUCUCCACUAUGGCGCGCCUUACUUUCAAUGUUGACGUAAAAUUCUCGCACCAAGUCGGGGUAGUAAUGGUUUCAUAGGGUGAAAAUCGAAGCCCAUCCAAGCUGAGUAAAAGCUUCCGAGAUGUUGUAUAUCAUCUCAACUGGUGGACUCACGUGCAUCUCAAACAAAAACUCCAAAUUAGCAUGCUCCUCAUGCCAUUCUUGAUUCCUGUGAUUGUUGAACCUAGCACUGUCAAAUACCGAUUUUCCCGAUGCACGAGAGGUGCCCUCACCAGGUUGUCGGCUAACUGGUGGAGGAGAAGGUGACGCUUCCUCCUCAGUCACAUCCAUUUCUUCAUUCACCUCUCUCUCAUCAUUACUAGAGGAUGAAGGUAUCACUCUUCUUCCCCUUGGCAUAGUACUUAAAAAAAAUUUUCAAUUAAUCACAUGUAUUACAACUCAUAAUUUGUCAACAAAAAUCUAGAAUUAAUCUCAAAUACAUUUCCUCAAGUUAUAAUCAUUCAAUGAUCAUACAAAAAUAGACAUAUUUUCUGCUUAAAAUUGUCCAAAAUCACCAACUUAAACAAGAUAUGUAUCAAUUAUAAUUCAAUCAAUGAAAAUAGCAUCAAUCAUGAUUAUAGCAAUAUUUAAUUAAUAAUAAUAAUGUGCAAUUAGCUAUAACCAUGAUUAGGCAAAAAUUAAACUAAUUAACUCACAAAAUCAACCAAAUUACUCACUAUACACAAUGCACAUGCUAAAACAUCAUCAACUAACCAUUAUUAACCAUAAUCAUUGAUAACCAAUGGCUUAAAAACAUUUUAAUCCAACUUCCUAAUUUUAGUUCAAAUAUAGCAAUUAAAAAAAAUAAAAACUAUUAAUAAUCAAGUAGCUAUAUUUGAACAUGUAAUCAUGUAUAAAUAACCUUAAUAAGCAUCAAUGAAGUCAAAAACAUCAUCAUUUAUCAUCAAAAAUUCGAGAUUAUAGGAAAUGCAAUUCAAGACAGUUUUGACACUUUUCGGUAUUUCGAUUAUAUCUGGAGCUACACUUUUCGGAUUGAGAUGAUCUUCAUAUCAUUUUACAGUUAAGAAAGAGACCUACAAUUGUUAUGAAGACAUAGAAAUCCAAUUCUGCUGUUUUCAUGGACAAAAAGUCGGAAUAUAGAAGCUUCAUUCUGUGGUCGAAAAUCGAAAUAGGGGUUUGAUCAGGUGAUAGCAUUUCGACCAUAUCUCAGGCUAUCAAACUCCGAUUUGGAUGAUUCUUGAAGCAUUGUAAAGCUAACUCAAAGGGCUACAACUUUUGUGUUUUGCUCAAAAGCUAGUUCGGCUUUCAUCAUAGAAAAAGUUGACAAAACGUGAGUUUAUGCCGCGUUUUGUAGCGGAAAAGCUGCAAUUUGCUCAGCUAUUUCUCUUGUAUUCAUACUACUUUCCAGCUAUAAGUUGCAAGGAAAUUCGGUGCACAUGCUUCAGAAGACAAAAGGGCAAGAAAUGUGGCUUAUUUUCAAAUAAAAAACAUUGGUUAUUGACUAUCCUAACAAAGUUGAGAUUUGAGAAUCAAAAGGUGAAAUUUGACUUGGAAAAAUGGAGAUCUUGAGCAGUUUUUAUGCAGAGACAUUGGGAGAGGUCUGUACACCAUACAUAGGGAGUUUUUCAUCUGGUAACAUUUUCUCUCUAGCUAGAAGUUCUUGAGGAAGCAAUUGGAGACUCAUCUUGUACAAGAACAUAGCAGAAAUUUGAGGGAUUCACCAUUAAUUGGCUAAACUUUCUCUAAUCUUUCUUGUAAUUGUACUUUAUGAUGUUUUGCAUUAAUAAACUUGUGAGUUUGAAUUUUAUUUCAUUCAUGUGUAGCUAAUUUUCUUUAUCUAGGGAGUAGAUGAAAUUUAUGCCUAAAUAAUAUGAAUUGAAUGUGAUUUAGACUUGUUAUAUCUUUAUUAACUUGUCUAUUUGUGCAGUUGUAAUUACUCGUCGUUGUUUGAUCACCAAUAACAUGUUCAUAAUUGUUAUUAGUCAAUGAGAAUUGAUGGUAACAAUGGUAAAACAUGAGUAGAGUUUGAGUUGUAUGUUUAUGAAAAUAGAUAUACAUUUAAGUGGAUUUUUCAACAUUCCAUGAAGGAAAACAGGGUAGAACUAGUAUUUCAUCAUAAAAAUAGGGAAAACUAUAUUGCUCUAAACCAUUUCAUCAUGAGAAUGAGAUUUGGUAAUAUUGGAAAUGAAUCCCUGGUUAAACAAGAAAAAUAACAAGAGGUAAAUCUAUUCAUUUGUGUUGUUUAUGCCAUAAGUGGAAUCUACAUCCCUAAAUUCAAUCUUUAGUGAAAUUUCUCCAUUUGCAUUUAACAUUGAUUAAACCAGAUUCGUAGACAAUAGCAGCAUUAUAAUUUUCUUGCUCAGAUUUAUUGUAAAUCUAAAUAAUAGAGAAAAAUAAGGGCCUAGUACUUGUUUAAUUUGCUUCUCGUGGGAUCGACCCGAUACAUACCCUACAUUACGAUUUUGGCCCGUACACUUGCAGUCAACGGGUAUAAAAUUGGAUUUAAACUUGCAUUGAUAUAAAAAUUCCGUCAAGUUUUUUGGCGCCGUUAUAGAGGAUGACGAUGAUGCUGAGGGGGAUGAUUGACUUGGCGCACUGCAGAUGCUAUCUUUUGUUGCUGG